AUAAAAUAAACCACGAAAGUGGCUUUAGUAUUUCUGAAUACACAAUAGCUAAGACCCAAACUGGGAUUAGAUACCCCACUAUGCUUAGCCCUAAACCUCAGUAGUUAAACCAACAAAACUACUCGCCAGAAUACUACAAGCAACCGCUUGAAACUCAAAGGACUUGGCGGUGCUUCACCCCCCUAGAGGAGCCUGUCCCAUAAUCGAUAAACCCCGAUCCACCCCACCCUCUCUUGCUCAGCCUAUAUACCGCCAUCUUCAGCAAACCCUACUAAAGGUUGCAAAGUAAGCAUGAGUAUCUUCAUAAAAACCUUAGGUCAAGGUGUAACCCAUGAGAUGGUAAGAAACGGGCUAUGUUUUCUACCCCUAGAAAACCCCACGACAACCCUUAUGAAACCUAAGGGCCCAAGGAGGAUUUAGCAGUAAAUUAAGAGCAGAGUGCUUAAUUGAAUAUGGCCAUCAAGCAUGCACACACCACCUGUCACCCUCCUCAAGAAUAUUUUAAGGAUUAACUAAACCCUCUAUGUAUUUAUAUAGAGGAGAUAAGUCAUAACAUGGUAAGUGUACUGGAAAGUGCACUUGGACGAACCAAGGC
rnacentral:ncRNA from 1 species